UGACACAAACAAACACAAACGUCAAAAGGUAAACAAGCUGAUUGAGCCGGCGGCCGUGUUUUUCUCGCGAAUUGCGCACAUUUGUCACGUUUUUCGCGUUUUGCAGACGAUUGGCGGGGAUGCAGCGGCUGUUGCACUCGUCGGCGCCGCUGUCGGCGCCGCCAGACAAGGCCACGCCCGGCAAGCUGCGGAAAAAGAGCGGCGACACGUUCAUAUAGUGCAUAAAAGCCCUCAGGAACUGCGGAAACCACGUAGCCAAGGUGGUACCGUGAGACCGUGAGGCGCCAGGUCUACUUAGAAUCUCAAAGGUGCCUUUUACCCUGACCCUGAAUUUCCAGAUUAAAGUUUUUAAAUAAAAUUCUGGUUCGACUGGAGGGCCGUGGAAAGUAUUAGCGGAGGGUGCAGGUGGUGCUGUCGGCCCAGGUCCAGUCCCAGUCCCAGGUCGACGUCGGGAAGGUUUUAAAGUUUUAUUAAAAAACCAGCAAAACCAAUUUUCGGCUCUCCAAGUAAUCAAAAACCGGUGUUAAAUUGGAAAAUAAAGAGCUUUUUGAAACAAAAUUUAAAAUAUCGACCCUGAAAAAAAUAUUUUUUUUGCAGACCCUGUAGCGUGAGGAGCUCUCUGAGCUGACGAGGGUUGCCGAUUAUUGGCAGAAGCAGGAGGCGCUGAGAAAAUGAUACCCUGGGCAGGGAAUCGCAGGUGGAGCAGCAGCACCGCCACUCCACCUUCGAGCGUUGAGUCGCACUCUCGUGGACCCUGUGAGCAUCCACCUAAUGUCUGCGGCGCCGGCUGGCAUGCACACAUACCUCCGGCGACGGCGCCGUUUCUCGCCAAGUGGCGCCGUGCCCACGAGCAACUUGCGGGCGCCCGCCCGGCGCACCAAGCGGCCCACGUCGCUACUGGUGGCCGCCGGCGGCCACCAGGCCCAAGUACUCGAGCGCCGAGUCGAUGGCCACGAGCAGCAGCAGCAGCAGCAUUGUCCAAUUGUCCAGCCCCGACUCGCCGCGCAGCUGCACCACCAGUUCCACGAGCGUACGCAGCGACUCGCUGAGCUCGCACUCGUCCGGCCGACUCUGGCGGCGACCUUCGUAGGGCCGUGAGCGGCCGGUGCCCGCCCCUCGGCCUGCUCUCCAACAAACUGCACAUUUCGGACAAGUCGCACGAGCCAGCCUCCGAACCUCGGACAGUAACAGAAAGUGGCAGAAAAGGCGUCGCCGGAGGGGAGGAAGCGGCCGCGACGCCGGUGGCGACACACGAGCUGCCGUGGGACAUGCUGAAAGACAGUAAAAAUUGAACGUGAACCUGGGCUGCUCCGCCCUGAGCGCCAGGGGCGUCGACGUCGACGUCAGCAUCCCCCUCGAGCGGCAAGGGUGGUUGCAUGGCGCCAUCACGCGCGUCGAGGCUGAACUGCGACUGCACCCUGAGGGCAGCUACCUCGUCAGGCACAGCGACCAACCCCGAUUAAGGCAAUUAUUUAAUCAGUAAAUGACGCCUUUUAUUAUUCGGGCGAGUUGCUGGCCAAAAACAGCGCUCUCUGGUCCGGCGGAGACCCCAACGACGGCGAAAAAAGGGCAAAACCUUGUGCGUCCACGUCGAGUACCAGUCCGACGAGAAGCUGCUGCUCCGACACCCACCGCUUCGUUUGCCAACUGCCUCUCAAUCCUGUUAUUAAAAUAAAUGUUUUAUUUGUUUAAAU